rnacentral:rRNA from 1 species
UUCGCCCUUUUCCGGUUGAUCCCGCCGGACCCCACUGCUAUCGAGAUGGGACUAAGCCAUGCUAGUCGAACGACCCGAACUAUGGCGGGAAGUGGCACACUGCUCAGUAACACGUAGCUAACCUACCCUUCGGACGGGUACAACCCCGGGAAACUGAGGUUAAUACCCGAUAGGUGUGGAAACCUGGAAUGGUACCACGCCCAAACGUAACACACCCAUGUGUGUGUCUAUGCCGAAGGAUGGGGCUGCGGCCGAUCAGGCAGUUGGUGAGGUAACGGCUCACCAAACCUUUGACCGGUACGGGCCAUGAGAGUGGUAGCCCGGAGAUGGGCACUGAGACAAGGGCCCAGGCCCUACGGGGCGCAGCAGGCGCGAAACCUCCACAAUUCACGAAAGUGAGAUGGGGCUAUCUCGAGUGCCGCCUGAUGA